CAACUGGAAGUCUCACUGAGGAAAGGACUCUUUGCCUCAGACCCGGACAAUCGGCACUCUCGCCUGCUGUACAAACUAUUGGGACUUCCCCGGCUGAUUGUGGUGUGGAUGUUAUUUACUCUGACAACAAAGGUCUGAGGCAAGGAUUGCUGAUGUGGAGUCAAAGAGAUACCAGAAAUGCCAUUUGUGUGGCGGUGAUUAAUGGCUCUCAAACGCAAAGAAAGCUGUUUCCUCUGCAAGCUUUUUGGGACCCUAAAUAAGUCCAGACGGGAGAAGACGAGCUAGCAUCCCAGAUAUUUCCGUGUAGCCCUCCAGAUCCACUCCCCACUCUUCCCCACCCUGUUCUGUGCCCCAGCUGCUGAUCUGUAGGACCUGCAGCAAGGUACCUGCUCUUUGGCUUCCCACUGUGUUAUCCAGAGGAAUGCAUUGACAGAGAAUCAGCAAGGAGAAAAGUUGGACCUGUAUUCCCCAGACAUCUUGCUGCUGGGCCCCCUCAGACUUUUCACUACAAUGAACAAUAUUUCACUGACUCUCCGUAGGAAAAUUUCUCUAAGGUUCUUAUGGCAUUGCUGGGCAAAAAGAAAAAAAAAAUUUAGAUACCUUGACUUUGAGGUACUAUGCUAUUGAGUGCCAAAAUGGAAUUUUUACAGUAUAGUUGGCCCUCUAUAUCUGACAGUUCCACAUCCAAGGAUUCAAUCAACCAUGGAUAAAAACUACUACAGUUGUAUCUACAGAGUUUUUUUCUUAUCAUUAUUCCUUAGACAAUACAGUAUAACUAUUUACAUAGCAUUUAAAUUAUAUUAGGUAUUAUAAGUAAUCUAGAGAUGAUUUAAAGUAUACAGGAGGAUGUACAUAAGUUAUAUGCAAAUACUAGGCCAUUUUAUGUAAGGCACUUCAGCAUCCUCAGAUUUUGGUAUCCUAAGAUGGUCCUGGA
rnacentral:lncRNA from 1 species